AGAAUUUGCUGUAUAAAUUCAAAACAGAAUGCAGGAUGAGUUGAAGUAAAACCCCAUGUGUAAAAUUCAACAUUCAGAGGCCUAUGGUUAUCAAUUCGUCAAGGUCCAGCUGGAUGCAUACAAUUCACAAGAGAAUAAAAACUUUACUAUGCUUUCUGUCCAAGUUGUUUCAAAAGUUUAAGCUUUUUCUGACUUUCCAGACGCGUCGAAAGCUCGGAAGUUUUCUUUUUAGUGUCCUCUAACUCUUUCUCCAGCUCCUCUAUUGUACGUUUCAACUCGGUUUCUCUCUGGAUGAAUGAUUCACACCUCCUAAAGAGUUGGAUAUUUUCUUCACAAAUCUGAUCAAUUGACAUGCAACUUGAACUGGAUAUUUGUGUAUCUUUUUUAACAGACUCAGUUGCAUUCCCUGUCAUAGGCUGUACACCUGGCAAUUCCAUGUUGCAGUUGGUUCUUCUACUGUUGCCACUCUGUGCAGAACGGAGAUGUGGCCUGGGAUGAGCUGCAAGAUCUGUAACUGUUUGAAAUUUUGUUGGCGACGGUGUUUGAGCAUUAGCCACUUGAACUUGGGGUGGAACAAAAGAUUCUCUCAGAAGGUUUUGUAAAUGCGGUUCAAGAGGCUUCAAUCCUAUCAAGUGACAAUGACCUUUCCAGUAAUCCAUCACUAUUUGCUUUAGUUUAGUCUCCAGCUUGAAAAACAGAGAAGAUCGUUCAAAAUCUUGCUUGUCAUGUGCAGGUUCUAUGAAAUUUGCUUCCAGAACACCAACAACACCAUUUCCUUUGGAAGAACCGUCUGCAGUAACUUUCCAGAAUGGCCUGAUGAGGCGAUUUUUGUGGUAAACAUUGAAUCCACAAACUGAUGAUGGAGUAUCCUUGACGAAGCCAAGACUUGUUUCAACCAAGAUCUCCUUUGAUGUUCCAGCAAGUUGCGGCCUGUAAGUGAUUACUUUUGUGAGCUUCAACUCAUCAAGAAUAUUAUACUGCUCAACAGGCUUCCCUCUUAGUAUGAUACUAAAAUUUGUAAAUUUUUUGAGGUAUAAUAUGGAUGUGUAUGCCUGAUAAGAGAUAUAAGGAAGCAUUAAAAUACAUUAGCAAAAUAAUCGGCAGGGAUGUUUAUAGAAAUUAAGUAAAAUUAAAUGGUUACUCUUAGAGAGUAUCGUAAACGGUACGAAAUAUGGGAUUGCAGUUCACGCCCUCUCUUGUUCGUUUUUGAUGUAUUUCCAUGAUUAGCUUCAUCUCUCAACGUUAUGUCCUCAUCAUCGUCAUCAAAGUUCAGUUCAUAAAUGCCUUCAUCGUUUAGCCAUAGGUUGAAGACAAUAAUCCUAGUUCCAUGUGAUUUUAUAUCAUCAAACUGUUGCAGAAGAUCCAAUUUUGUUGCAAAAGGGGACCACUCAAGAAUUGUAUUCAAAUUUGUUGACCAAUCAUCUUGAGAGCCAUAUACUAUUGGUUCAGCCCAAUGGCCGGUGAUAUCAUAAUCGAUCAUUGGAACAAUCACAUCAUCUUGCCCUGUUCUCCGAAGAAAUGUAUAGGACAGAAGGCCAACACUUUGAGUUGCUCGGCCUGAACGGGAUGAACGGCUGAAGACAAUUACAUCAGCGCCUAACCGCAUGGUGCUCGUCUUGAAUCCAUUACCAUAUUGU
rnacentral:misc_RNA from 1 species